GAGAACGCUGGCGGCGUGCUUAACACAUGCAAGUCGAACGGUGACGAGGAGCUUGCUCCUCUGAUCAGUGGCGAACGGGUGAGUAACACGUGAGCAACCUGCCCCAGACUCUGGGAUAACAGUUGGAAACAGCUGCUAAUACCGGAUACGAGACGGAGAGGCAUCUCUACCGUCUGGAAAGUUUUUCGGUCUGGGAUGGACUCGCGGCCUAUCAGCUAGUUGGUGAGGUAAUGGCUCACCAAGGCGACGACGGGUAGCCGGCCUGAGAGGGCGACCGGCCACACUGGGACUGAGACACGGCCCAGACUCCUACGGGAGGCAGCAGUGGGGAAUAUUGCACAAUGGGCGAAAGCCUGAUGCAGCGACGCCGCGUGAGGGAUGACGGCCUUCGGGUUGUAAACCUCUUUCAGCAGGGAAGAAGCGAAAGUGACGGUACCUGCAGAAGAAGCACCGGCUAACUACGUG
rnacentral:rRNA from 1 species